AAUACGAGACGAGAAGACCCUUUGGAGCUUUAGGUACUAGGCUUACUUACGUCAAAUAAUCUAAUCAAGGCGCAAAACUUAGUAAAACAUAAGACUUUACCUUCGGUUGGGGCGACCAUGGAGGAAAAAAUAGCCUCCGAGUGGAUUGGACACAUCCCAAAAACCAAGAGAAACAUCUCCACGUCACAGAACAUCUGACCAAUUAUGAUCCGGUUACAAAACCGAUCAACGGACCAAGUUACCCUAGGGGAUAACAGCGCAAUCCUCUCCCAGAGUCCAUAUCGACGAGGGGGUUUACGACCUCGAUGUUGGAUCAGGACAUCCUAAUGGGAGCUGCCGCUAUUAAGGGGGUCGUUUGCUCCACGAUUAAUAGUCCUACGGGGUCUGAGUUCAGAACAGAGAAGGGGGAUGUUUUUCAAAAACAUAUCCGUGUUCUGAUUUCAGACCGGAACCGCCUGUUUGUCAAAAAA
rnacentral:rRNA from 1 species